GGUCUCCGUUGGUGAACCAGCGGAGGGAUCAUUACUGAGUUUACGCUCUACAACCCUUUGUGAACAUACCUACAACUGUUGCUUCGGCGGGUAGGGUCUCCGCGACCCUCCCGGCCUCCCGCCUCCGGGCGGGUCGGCGCCCGCCGGAGGAUAACCAAACUCUGAUUUAACGACGUUUCUUCUGAGUGGUACAAGCAAAUAAUCAAAACUUUUAACAACGGAUCUCUUGGUUCUGGCAUCGAUGAAGAACGCAGCGAAAUGCGAUAAGUAAUGUGAAUUGCAGAAUUCAGUGAAUCAUCGAAUCUUUGAACGCACAUUGCGCCCGCCAGCAUUCUGGCGGGCAUGCCUGUUCGAGCGUCAUUUCAACCCUCAAGCUCUGCUUGGUGUUGGGGCCCUACAGCCGAUGUAGGCCCUCAAAGGUAGUGGCGGACCCUCCCGGAGCCUCCUUUGCGUAGUAACUUUACGUCUCGCACUGGGAUCCGGAGGGACUCUUGCCGUAAAACCCCCCA
rnacentral:rRNA from 1 species